rnacentral:rRNA from 1 species
ACUCCUACGGGAGGCAGCAGUGGGGAAUAUUGCACAAUGGGAAAGCCAUCGAUGCAGCCAUGCCGCGCUGUGUGAAGAAGGCCAAUUCGGGCUUUGGUUAAAGACACUUUCAGUAGGGAGGAAGGUAGUGUAGUUAACACCUGCAUUAUUUGACGUUACCUACAGAAGAAGCACCGGCUAACUCCGUGCCAGCAGCCGCGGUAAUACGGAGGGUGCGAGCGUUAAUCGGAAUUACUGGGCGUAAAGCGCAUGCAGGCGGCCUGUUAAGUCAGAUGUGAAAGCCCGGGCUU